UCAGGGCUGGAAGGGACCUCAGGAGGUCAUCUAGUCCAGCCCCCUGCUCAAAGCAGGGCCAAUCCCCAAUUUUUGCCAUAGAUCCCUAAACGGCCCCAUCAAGGAUUGAACUCACAACCCUGGGUUUAAUAAGCCACUGCUCAAACCACCCAGCUAUCUCUCCCACCUCUUACAGGGAAUGUCACAACAC